AUGGAGUUCCAUCAAUCUGGGAGAUCCACGAGUCGCUUCCAUCAUCUGCCACUAGAAAUCAUUGUUGUACUCAAUGGACCUAUAAUGUCUUGUACUCAAAUCCUUGUAAUUGCUUGGAAUUCUGUAUUAAGGAAAUGUCCACCAGCAACAGUAAUCCUGGGGCUGGUGAUGACACAAGGGUCGUUUACUGGGAUUUAUGUCCCGGAAAUCAAGGCCCCAACAAAUCACCUUCGAAGCAAUCUUAUACAAGACAUUACACAGGCUGAUUGGACGGAAUUGAGACGUGAGCGUGGUUUUUUUUACCUUUGGGAUAAGAACCAAGACAGUAUCAUUAAUGCAUUCUGCUGA
rnacentral:rRNA from 1 species